UAGGGAAUAUUGCACAAUGGGGGAAACCCUGAUGCAGCGACGCCGCGUGAAGGAAGAAGUAUCUCGGUAUGUAAACUUCUAUCAGCAGGGAAGACAAUGACGGUACCUGACUAAGAAGCCCCGGCUAACUACGUGCCAGCAGCCGCGGUAAUACGUGAGGGGACAAGCGUUCAUGUCCGGAUUUUAGCUGGGAUGGUAAAGGGAGCGUAGACGGAUCUGCAAGUCUGGAGUGAAAGCCCGGGGCUCAACCCCGGGACUGCUUUGGAAACUGUGGAUCUAGAGUGCCGGAGAGGUAAGCGGAAUUCCUAGUGUAGCGGUGAAAUGCGUAGAUAUUAGGAGGAACACCAGUGGCGAAGGCGGCUUACUGGACGGUAACUGACGUUGAGGCUCGAAAGCGUGGGGAGCAAACAGGAUUAGAUACC
rnacentral:rRNA from 1 species